rnacentral:rRNA from 1 species
UGCAGUCGAGCGGACAGAUGGGAGCUUGCUCCCUGAUGUUAGCGGCGGACGGGUGAGUAACACGUGGGUAACCUGCCUGUAAGACUGGGAUAACUCCGGGAAACCGGGGCUAAUACCGGAUGGUUGUUUGAACCGCAUGGUUCAGACAUAAAAGGUGGCUUCGGCUACCACUUACAGAUGGACCCGCGGCGCAUUAGCUAGUUGGUGAGGUAACGGCUCACCAAGGCAACGAUGCGUAGCCGACCUGAGAGGGUGAUCGGCCACACUGGGACUGAGACACGGCCCAGACUCCUACGGGAGGCAGCAGUAGGGAAUCUUCCGCAAUGGACGAAAGUCUGACGGAGCAACGCCGCGUGAGUGAUGAAGGUUUUCGGAUCGUAAAGCUCUGUUGUUAGGGAAGAACAAGUGCCGUUCAAAUAGGGCGGCACCUUGACGGUACCUAACCAGAAAGCCACGGCUAACUACGUGCCAGCAGCCGCGGUAAUACGUAGGUGGCAAGCGUUGUCCGGAAUUAUUGGGCGUAAAGGGCUCGCAGGCGGUUUCUUAAGUCUGAUGUGAAAGCCCCCGGCUCAACCGGGGAGGGUCAUUGGAAACUGGGGAACUUGAGUGCAGAAGAGGAGAGUGGAAUUCCACGUGUAGCGGUGAAAUGCGUAGAGAUGUGGAGGAACACCAGUGGCGAA